ensembl:lncRNA
GGCCGCGCUGGCCGGGCUCCGCCUCCCGCCGGCGGUCAGAGACGCCCCCCACGGUCAGCGCUGGGAGGGGGAGGGGGUGACCUGCAGGAAAUGCCGGGCCGGGUUGCCGAGCUUCAGCCCGGAGCCCCUCCUCAGCAAUGCCAGCCGCUUCUGCUGGCGUCAGGAUGCUGCCUUUUCUGGUGUAAGCUGCAACUCCUCCUGGAAGCGAAAGCUCCGGCGGGAUUUCCUCUCCACGGAGGGUGUAUGUGAGGUCUGAACUGCCCCCAGAGCUGUACUGCAGGCACCUGUCAAGAUCCAUGUCAGUACUAGAGAUGCAAAGAUAAUAUAGACAUAAGGCUUAUAUUCUUCUGGAGGACAUGCAAUCAUGAAAUGUGCGGCUAUAUCAUGGGAUGGUCAAUGCUAUUCUAGAGAUGGUGCAAACUAUGAUGGCUGUGACACUGCAUUUCCUCUUUGGGAUGUCCACCUAGAAGAUGAAAGAGGAGAAAUCGCCAGCCCAGAAUUUGGAACCAGCUGGUUGCACUAAUAGUUUUGUGGUGCCCCUGCUUCAGACUCCCCCCCCCCGCCAUUUGUCUCUCCAUCUUUCUCCCUCUCGAAUCUGACCUGCCAUGUAGUGCCCUAUGCUCUACACCUCCGACUACGCUGUUCCUCUCUCUGUGAAUCUCUUUCUCCUGCUCAUCUGCUGAGAUACAACCUUCUCCUCAAAAACCUUUUUCUCAAAAACUUUCUCACCACUCAUCCAGUGUAUGUCUCACAUUGGUCCCUAGCAAGUGUGACAACUGGGAUCUUGAGGACACUGGACCACUUUGUUUAGCUGUUCAUUCUGUCUAGCUCAGGUUCUUUUGGCUCACUGAUGUGAUAUUUCCAUUGCAGGUGAACAUGCUGCUUUUCCAUGGUGGACUUGGUGGGCAAGACCAUGUCCCUUGCUUCAUUGGUUCAAUGCCAUGAGGCUGGAAGCAAAUUUCUUCACUCUGCCUUUGUUUCUUGCUCAUCAGAGACUGUGACCACCUCUGCUACUGUCUUUCCAGCCAUCCCUUCCCUCACAGACUCUGGAUGUGAUGUUUCCUUCAAACCUACAGCCCCUUGUGCUAAUGAGUGGCUAUCCUUUGUAACAGAAUCAAAUCAGGACCACAGCACUGAUGUGGCUCAAGUCUUCUUCCCCUGGGGUCCAGCCCUUUCAACAAUGAACUCAAGUAUGACAUCGCUGACUACCCCAGUCCUGGCAGACCGCUCUCCCUUUACACCUCCCCAAGCUUUGUUUCUUUGAAAAUGUGUAAGGCUUGUUUCUGUCAGUAGAGUAUAAUUACCUCAAAAGCAGAGACCAUGAUUAUAAUAG